CAGGCGGGCAGUGGCCUCGGGCGAGGGCAGAAGGGCACUCCGGGCUGUGAAUAGAACACUUGCUUAUCCCUUCAGAGGACAAGCCGGUGGCAGGCCUGGAGCCCCCAGUGACGGGUUGAGCAGUGGGCAGCGAGGCAGAUGGGUCCUUAAAGAGUAGCUGACGUCUUCAGUGUCAGCUUCUAGCGUGGCCUGACAGCCCCCAGCAUCCCCGGAAUGCCCCCCACGGUCUAUCUGCUCCAAUAGACUAAAAAUUCCCUAAAUAGAAGCACCCUUGAGGCCGCUAUCAAUAUGGUACCUGCACAGAGUGGAUGUUAAGUAAAUACUUGAUGAGCGAAUGACAAGUGAUGGGAGACUUGAAGGACAAACUUCCAGGGACAGGAAGGACAGUGCUGGGCUUUUUCUUUUGAGUUUUGGAAAGCCGUUGGGCAGUGUAAUUACUGGAUUAGGACCGGGCUGGAGACCAGCUUCCAGGCUAAUCUCUGCGGACCUGGUGAACUUCCCCUUCUCUGUUCUAGCCUCCAGAAAGUUGCAUUUGCUUCCCCUCUGCACGCUUCCUUCACCAGGUUCCUGGUAUACAUCCUUCACAUUUCAGCGUGGGCAUGCCAACAGAAAAGCCCUCAGGCUUCCCAAGAUGAAUCAUAAAGCCCUGAGGUGUUCCCUCCCAGGACUCUGCUUAACCCCUUUCUUGCAUGUACCACUGUGCUAUAGAAUGGGUUGUUCAUUUGCAAAAUGACCUCAUUAAGACAGUAAGCUCUUUGAAGCUGGGGGUAGGGGUCUUAUCCAAUUCAUCACGGCGUAUUCGUGGCACAUAAUAUGGAAUGAAUGAACAGAUUGAUUUAGGAAAUAGAACCCACAAAACUCAGUGGCCAAUUGGAUGUGAAGGAGAGGGAAGGAGGAAUCUUGAGAGACUUCCAGGUUUUCUGGCCCAAGGAAUUGGGUCACCUACAGGAAUUGCUUCUCUUAGCAAGGCAUCGUCUCCUGUGCAAAGUCUUCACAGAUGCCAACUGCCCCUGGC
rnacentral:lncRNA from 1 species